GGAUGUCGUCGGAGCUGCAGGUGUUCUGCCCCACGCAAAAGGAAAAGGCGCAGGGGGGAAACAGCAGUCAAAAG
rnacentral:SRP_RNA from 14 species